CGCGAACGCUGGCGGCAUGGCUAAAACAUGCAAGUCGAACGCGAAAGCGGGCAACCGCAAGUAGAGUGGCGGAAGGGCGAGUAAUGCAUUUCUAACGUGCCCCAAGGUUAGGGAUAGCUCACCGAAAGGUGUGGUAAUACCUGAUGAUGCUGCCGGGUCGUAUGGCCUGGCAGCCAAAGGCUUGCUGCCUUGGGAGCGGGGAAUGUCCUAUCAGCUAGUUGGUGAGGUAACGGCUCACCAAGGCGAAGACGGGUAGCGGGUGUGAGAGCACGGCCCGCCGCAUCGGGACUGAGACACUGCCCGGACUCCUACGGGAGGCUGCAGUAACGAAUAUUCCACAAUGCGCGAAAGCGUGAUGGAGCAAUGCCGCGUGCGGGAUGAAGCCCCUCGGGGUGUAAACCGCUGUCAGGGUUCAGGAAUUCUGAUCAGACCCCAAAGGAAGAGGCGGCUAACUCUGUGCCAGCAGCCGCGGUAAUACAGAGG
rnacentral:rRNA from 1 species